rnacentral:rRNA from 1 species
GACGAACGCUGGCGGCGUGCUUAACACAUGCAAGUCGAACGGGUCUGCCCUGUUUUUUGCGGGGUGGGUCAGUGGCGAACGGGUGAGUAACACGUGAGUAACCUGCCCCUCACUUCUGGAUAACCGCUUGAAAGGGUGGCUAAUACGGGGUGUUCUGGCUGUGCCGCAUGGUGUGGCUGGGAAAGAUUCACUUUUGUGGUGCUUUGGUGGGGGAUGGGCUCGCGGCCUAUCAGCUUGUUGGUGGGGUGAUGGCCUGCAAAGGCUUUGACGGGUAGCCGGCCUGAGAGGGUGGGCGGUCACACUGGGACUGAGAUACGGAACAGACUCCUGCGGGAGGAAGCAGUGGGGGGUAUUGCACAAUGGGCGGAAGCCUGAUGCAGCGACGUCGCGUGAGGGAUGGUGGCCGUCGGUUUGUGAACCUCUUUCGCCGGUGAAGAAGGUCCUGCUCCUUGUGGUGGGGUUGACGGUAGCCGGGUUAUGAAGCGCCGGCUAACUACGUG